rnacentral:misc_RNA from 1 species
UCCCAUAUGAAAUUCAAAAAUUCAGAUGAAGUUCAUAACCCUGCUCUUCUUCUUUCUAUUUGGAACAUUCCAAUGGCUUCAAGAUUGGUUGGCAAUCUCGUUGAACAUUCUUGUCAAUGGAAGGAACAAUUUCCUGGAUCAGAUUAUCAAAUCUUCAUUGACGUCUUGCUUUCAUCCAUUGAUUAAACUCUUCCAUUCUCCAUAGAUUUUCUUCUCGAACCACCUCAAACUCCUUGCAAUUAUCUUCAAAAAUUUGUUGGUGGUCUCCAUCUUGAAGGAUUGAAUAGAUGUUGUAAUUCUUUGAGUUGAUUCUCUAGAAUCAUGUAUGUUAUUUCAUCAUCCAUGGUUGCUUGUUGUGGAUUAGAAAUAGAAUUUAGGGGAGGAAUGAAGAACAGGAUAUGGAAGAGAAAGAAUGAGCAAAGAAGAGAAAGGGAGAGAAGAGAAGAAACAGAGGAAAAAAGAUGAAAAAAGAAGAGAGGGAAGAGAGAAGAAAGGAAAGGAAGAGAGAAUGCAGAAGCAAUCCCUAGGAUUGUACUGCUCUUCACCAAAUUAUUGUGACCAGGUCACAACCAAACAGGAAAACAGAGGAAAGGGGGAAG